UCCCUGGUGGUCCAGUGGCUAAGACUCUGCAUUCCUAAUGCAGAGACUCUGCAUUGCCAAUGCAGAUUUGAUCCCUGAUCAGGGAA
rnacentral:tRNA from 1 species